rnacentral:lncRNA from 1 species
UGAAACUGGAGUUAUAGAUGAUUGUAAGCUGCAACAAAGGUGCUGGGACCCAAACCUCGGUCCUCACCCAGAAAAGCAAAUGCUCUUAACUGCUGAUCCAUCAUUCUAGCCCAUGUCUUCUCUUUCAAAACAGCAUCUGCAAAGAACGUUUUCCCAGAUAAAGUUACAUCUUUGAGGUACACAGUUCAACCCACAGCACUUUUAUAAACUGCACUCUCCAUCAUCAGACAAGAUGCAGUGCCUUCAUGGAUGACCAACCUUUCCAGGCCACCAGGCGGAGUCCACUAGAAGCUAUACUCUGGAUGCAUAGGCCACCAGGGGGCACCGCAGGACCAAAAACUGAUGUACAACACUAAGUUUAUUGUGCUUUCUCUGGUUUAGGUUGAUCUUCAACUGUAUUUCGGAAGUGAAGGUCUUCACCCUUGAUAUGGCUGAGAGAUGGAGGAUGCUCUGGCUUCUUUCUCAGUCACAGAUUCUAAGCAGCUUUAAAACUCACUGCCAUGGGGGAUAGGCUGGCCCCAGAUCUCUCCAGAUUUGAGGGUUGGUAAUGGAGAAGUUGGAGCUCCCCAGCAGCUCUGGGAUGAUGUAUCCAUUUGGCAAUAGGUUAGAGUAGAUGGCCAGUGUGAAGAUGGGGAUCCAGCCUCAUGGAGGAGGGCAUUUGCAAGUAAGCAAGCCUUCAGGAAGGACGUCUGACGUGGCUACUUCCCUGCCAGUCCCAUCAUGGGUCUCCUUCCUAGGCAGACACAGAUCCCUCCAACUUUCAUCUGAUGGUACUGUACAGCAAGCUUCACAGAGCCUCCUAAAACCUCUACAAACCAAUUUCCAGUUAUCUUACACUCAGUGGGUCAGUGACUACAAACUCUGGAUGAACAAAAUAAAACUGAAGGAGAGGGCUAAAGCAGGGAAGAAGUGGGAAGCUGUGUACCAGCAAGGAAGUCAGCUAGCUAUCUCAAUGGUGGAAGGAGUGUCAAGGAUGCUCCCAGCCAAAACCCUCCCUGAGAACCACAGAGAAUGGAGAAGGGAGGAUUCUAGACAAUGCGGAGUUCUCACCACCUCAUGGAGCAUCUUGUAGGUCUGAAUCCUGCAGCUGCUCUGGGUGAAAGAGGAAUACAUGAAAAAGGAAGAAGCCCUUUGGCUGGAAGGAAACCACCAACAGAAAAUAGAUAAGGUGUGGCUUGAACGUUAGUACAUUCACAUUUGUAACCACGCUUUCUUCCAAGGGAUCAUCCAGGAAGCUCCCCGAAGAGUGUCCUCACUGCACAGACAUAGGGCUGUCUACACUGCAGUAGGACAGCAUGAGUCCCAGCCCCUCCAUUCUCUUCUUCCGAAGGGGCUGAAAAUAAGUGACCCGGUAACAAAACCACUUCCUGGGCCACCCAGGACUGACUUGGGGUGCUAGACCUGACCCUAAAAGGAGCCAGAAGAGUACUUGCUGUUCUUACAAAUGAUCUGUGUUUGUUUCCCAGCAACCACGUGGAGGCUCACCACCUCCUCAAGCACCAGACACACAUGUGGUACACAGACAUACAUGCAGGUAAAACAC